rnacentral:rRNA from 1 species
AGAGUUUGAUCAUGGCUCAGAUUAACGCUGGCGGCAUGCCCUUACACAUGCAAGUCGAACGGUAGCGCGGGGCAACCUGGCGACGAGUGGCGAACGGGUGAGUAAAGCAUCGGAACGUGCCCUGGAAUGGGGGAUAACGUAGCGAAAGUUACGCUAAUACCGCAUAUUCUGUGAGCAGGAAAGCAGGGGAUCGCAAGACCUUGCGUUCUGGGAGCGGCCGAUGUCGGAUUAGCUAGUUGGUGGGGUAAAAGCCUACCAAGGCGACGAUCCGUAGCGGGUCUGAGAGGAUGAUCCGCCACACUGGGACUGAGACACGGCCCAGACUCCUACGGGAGGCAGCAGUGGGGAAUUUUGGACAAUGGGCGGAAGCCUGAUCCAGCCAUGCCGCGUGAGUGAAGAAGGCCUUCGGGUUGUAAAGCUCUUUCGGUGGGGAAGAAAUUGCACGGGUUAAUACCCUGUGUAGAUGACGGUACCCGACUAAGAAGCACCGGCUAACUACGUG